rnacentral:lncRNA from 10 species
GAGAGGUGUCUUCAAGACCCUAUUUUACAGAUGAGAAAACAGAGGCUCUGAGAAUAGAAAUGAUCUGCUCACAGACACAUGGCUGGUAAGAGUCAGAAUUGGAAUGAGAACCCAGAGCUCUUAACCAACAUGUUUAUAGGAUAAGACACUUUGCAGAGGAGGAAAAAAUGGUAUCACAGAGGGGAGGACGUAGAUGUGAAUUGCUUAAUGACUGUUUCAGGGUUCGGCAUUGUCCUAUUUGGUUCGGCUUUGUCUCUAUGUCAUCUUAAUUCAGUGUGCCCAUGAUCACACGGUGUGUAAGUGAUGAAAGCAGGAGAUGAAUUCAGGAGAAUUGUUUGAACCACUGGGAGAAAGAGACACUGAAGCCUGCAAAAAGAGAGAGAUUUGCCUAAGGUCUGUAGUCUGCAGGGGGCUCUUGUUUGAACUUCUCUGCUGCAACCAGGGUCUCCUGUGGCACCUGCUGCCCACCCACUCGUCUGGGUAUCCUGACAAGAUGUCCAUCCGCACCCAGCCUGUGCCUAGCAGAGCAGGUAAAUGGAAGCUUAUCACUGUUCAUAGUCAUGGGAUCAUUUGGCCAAUGGGGGAACCUGGGAGGCAGGCCUUCCUAUGUUGGUUGAAGGAGAGCUUUGCUUCUCGUGGCAUACAGGGACCCACCCUUAUGGCAUGACUUCAAAGUUAUGUGACAUGGUGGUGCAGCUGGAAGAUGAGGAAAGUGAACAACGUUGGAGAGGCCCCACCUACUCUUGACUGUCUCUGCUGGAAGUGAUUCAACACUCCUCUUUAAAUUUCAUUGGUAAGGAAAACCCCCAUGAGAGAAAGUAACUUGAUCAACAUCACACAGCUAGGUGGGAGUGGUGGCUUCUGCCUGUAAUCCAAGCACUUUGGGAGGACGAGGCAGGCAGAUCGCUUGAGCCCAGGAGUUUGAAACCAGCCUGGGCAACAUGAGGAAACCUUGCCUCUAUAAAAUAAACAAAAAUUAACCAGGU